rnacentral:rRNA from 1 species
CCUACGGGCGGCAGCAGUGGGGGAUAUUGCACAAUGGGGGAAACCCUGAUGCAGCGACGCCGCGUGAAGGAAGAAGUAUUUCGGUAUGUAAACUUCUAUCAGCAGGGAAGAAAAUGACGGUACCUGACGAAGAAGCCCCGGCUAACUACGUGCCAGCAGCCGCGGUAAUACGUAGGGGGCAAGCGUUAUCCGGAUUUACUGGGUGUAAAGGGGGCGUAGGUGGUGUAGCAAGUCAGAAGUGAAAGCCCGGGGCUCAACUCCGGGACUGCUUUUGAAACUGUUGAACUAGAUUGCAGGAGGGGUAAGUGGAAUUCCUGGUGUAGCGGUGAAAUGCGUAGAUAUUAGGAGGAACACCAGUGGCGAAGGCGGCCUACUGGACUGUAAAUGACGCUGAGGCUCGAAAGCGUGGGGAGCAAACAGGAUUUGAUACCCGAGUAGUC